rnacentral:pre_miRNA from 1 species
ACAAUAUUUGGACCGUCGGUCUGCCGAGCAAUUUCAUCCGCUCGGUGGAAGAUCUUUCUAUGUCGU